AAAGGACGACUGGAGUGGUGAGAAGAGACUCUGCCAGCAUAAGUAGCGAAAAACAAGGUGAGAACCCUUGUCGCCGUAAGUCUAAGGUUUCCUGAUAAAGGUUAAUCCGAUCAGGGUUAGUCGGAGCCUAAGGUGAGGCCGAGAGGCGUAGCUGAUGGACACACGGUUAAUAUUCCGUGACCUCCUAAGGAGAUAUCGAUGCGGGGACGCAGCGCGAAAGCCCUUCUGCGCAAUGGUUUCAAAGAAGGGGCAAGCGAGGACCGGAUAGGCAAAUCCGCCGGUUCGUCUGCCAGGAAAAGCCGCUAAGAGCCAAGGGAGUCCGUACCACAAACCGACACAGGUAGACGUGAUGAGUAUUCUCAGGCGCUCGGGUGAUUAGUUGUUAAGGAACUAGGCAAAUUAACCCCGUAACUUCGGGAGAAGGGGUGCCUCCAUCUUUAAACGUGGGGGCCGCAGUGAAUAGCGAGGGGCAACUGUUUAACAAAAACACAGGUCUCUGCAAAGUCGAAAACGACGUAUAGGGGCUGACGCCUGCCCAGUGCCGGAAGGUUAAGAGGAGCGGUUAGCGCAAGCGAAGCUGUGAAUCGAAGCCCCGGUGAACGGCGGCCGUAACGAUAACGGUCCUAAGGUAGCGAAAUUCCUUGUCGGGUAAGUUCCGACCUGCACGAAUGGCGUAAUGAUCUCUCGACUGUCGUAACAACUAGCCCGGCGAAUUUGUGGUUCCGGUGAAGACGCCGGAUGCCCGCCACUAGACGAAAAGACCCCGUGCACCUUUACUAUACUCUAUCAGUGAAUUAUGGGAUGUUCUGCGCAGGAUAGGUGGGAGGCUUUGAGACCGGACUCUUGGGUUCGGUGGAGCCAACGGUGAGAUACCACCCUGAGCAUUCUGUGAUUCUAACCUACUUCCCUAACCGGGAAGAGGGACACUGGUAGACGGGUAGUUUGACUGGGGCGGUCGCCUCCUAAAGUGUAACGGAGGCGCUCGAAGCUUGGUUCAGGAGGUUUGGAAAUCCUCCUUCGAGUGCAAUGGCAUAAACCAGGUUGACUGCGAGACCUACAAGUCAAGCAGGUGCGAAAGCAGGACAUAGUGAUCCGGUGGUUCUGUAUGGAAGGGCCAUCGCUCAACGGAUAAAAGGUACGCCGGGAUAACAGGCUUAUCGGAGCCAAGAGUUCACAUCGACGCUCCGGUUUGGCACCUCGAUGUCGGUUCAUCGCAUCCUGGGGGUGUAGAAGCUCCCAAGGGUUAGGCUGUUCGCCUAUUAAAGCGGUACGUGAACUGGGUUCAGAACGUCGCGAGACAGUUCGGUCUCUAUCUGUGGUGGGCGUAGGACAUUUGAAGGGGCUUGGCCGUAGUACGAGAGGACCCGGCUGAACAGACCUCUUGUGAUCCAGUUGUCACGCCAGUGGCACCGCUGGGUAGCGAAGUCUGGUCAGGAUAAGCGCUGAAUGCAUAUAAGCGCGAAACCUUCCCUAAGAUGAGAUGUCCCAAGCGAAAGCUAAGAAGGGCCCAGGAAGACGACCUGGUUGAUAGGGCAGAUGUGGAAGCGUGGUAACACGUUGAGCUGACUGCUACUAAUAGCCCGUUCGGCUUGACC
rnacentral:rRNA from 1 species